GGGUAUAUAGCCCAGUGGUAGAGCCUGUGCUUAGCAUGCAUGGUCUUGGGUUCAAUCCCCAGUACCUCCA
rnacentral:tRNA from 1 species